UACGUAGGGUCCGAGCGUUGUCCGGUAUUACUGGGCGUAAAGAGCUCGUAGGUGGUUUGUCGCGUUGUUCGUGAAAACUCACAGCUCAACUGUGGGCGUGCGGGCGAUACGGGCAGACUUGAGUACUGCAGGGGAGACUGGAAUUCCUGGUGUAGCGGUGGAAUGCGCAGAUAUCAGGAGGAACACCGGUGGCGAAGGCGGGUCUCUGGGCCGAUACUGACGCUGAGGAGCGAAAGCGUGGGGAGCGAACAGG
rnacentral:rRNA from 1 species